rnacentral:rRNA from 1 species
CCUACGGGGUGCAGCAGUGGGGAAUAUUGGACAAUGGGCGAAAGCCUGAUCCAGCCAUGCCGCGUGUGUGAAGAAGGCCUUCGGGUUGUAAAGCACUUUCAGUGGGGAAGAAAGCCUUGGGGCUAAUACCCUCGAGGAAGGACAUCACCCACAGAAGAAGCACCGGCUAACUCCGUGCCAGCAGCCGCGGUAAUACGGAGGGUGCGAGCGUUAAUCGGAAUUACUGGGCGUAAAGCGCGCGUAGGCGGUCUGAUAAGCCGGUUGUGAAAGCCCCGGGCUCAACCUGGGAACGGCAUCCGGAACUGUCAGGAUAGAGUGCAGGAGAGGAAGGUAGAAUUCCCGGUGUAGCGGUGAAAUGCGUAGAGAUCGGGAGGAAUACCAGUGGCGAAGGCGGCCUUCUGGACUGACACUGACGCUGAGGUGCGAAAGCGUGGGUAGCAAACAGGAUUAGAUACCCUUGUAGUC